rnacentral:tRNA from 1 species
AGUAAAUAGUUUAAAUAAAAUAUAAGUUUGUGGGACUUAAGAUAAAUUUUACUU